AUAAAAAGGAUGUACUUUUAUCGCCCCAGUCUGAUGUAAUUAUGACUGAUUCGAUUUAUUCUGAUUUUGU